rnacentral:rRNA from 1 species
AUGGUUUGUCGUCCCAAAGAUCAAGGCGGGUUGGGCAUUCAUGACCUUGAGAUUAAGAAUAGGGCCCUACUCGGAAAAUGGUUGUUUAAAUUAGUGACAAAAGAUGGUUUAUGGCAAACCCUUCUAAGGAGGAAAUAUGUGGGUUCCAAGGCGGUAUUCCAAGUAUAUUGGAAGCCCGGGGAUUCUCACUUUUGGGCGGGUCUAAUGGCUACGAAGAAACAUUUCUUCUGCUAUGUCUCCUUCUCAAUCAACGACGGCUCGGAAGUUAGAUUCUGGAAGGAUAAGUGGCUAGGAAAUACCACACUCCGGGAACAAUAUCCAGCUCUGUAAAAUAUUGUGCGUCACAAGGGUGAUACCAUCGCCACGGUAAUGGAAUCAUUUCCACCAAAUGUGACGGUCAGAAGAGAUUUAAUUGGACCCAGACUCCAAUCGUGGAACAUCCUGCUCCAGCGGUUGUCCACGGUGCAAUUGUCACAUGGGUCUGAUGUAUUUCGUUGGAACCUACAUGGGAAUGGUCAAUUCUCAGUGGAGUCCAUGUACAGAGCUUUGCUCCAAUCUGAUGUGCAUGUUGAUAAUAUUAAGAAGAUUUGGAAGAUGAAGAUACCUCUUAAGAAUAAAAUCUUUGCAUGGUAUCUUCGUCGCGGAGUCAUUCUUACUAAAGAUAACCUUAUUAAGAGAAAUUGGCAUGGAAGUCCGCAAUGUGUUUUUUUUUCACCAUGA